CGGGUGAGUGUAACAGUACUCAACAGUAUGGGUGUUGACAACACCGGAAUAUCCUGUCAAAGGAUGAGGCUAAAAUUAGAUUUCACUUCCUGGUUGGUCGGACUGCCUUCAAUCGAAAGGAGUACAUGACAUACGUUAUGAAUGACACUCGAUGAUGGAAAUGGUGAUUCUAAUUGGAGGAACUUUGUUGGUGACACUGUUGUCUCAUGUUGGAGGUCAAACACUGUCACUACAAGGAUCUUCAUCCUCAGUGCUACUGGGUGACAGCUUCCAGUCCACCUGCACCGUGAGUGGAGGCAGCCCUCUACAAGGACCACUGAGCUUCAUGAGG